UUUUUGUGCAUGUGUAAUACUUUCAGAGGAAAGAAAAUAAAACACCAUGAGGAGGAGGGUAUCUGUGGCCACCACCUGGGUGAUCUCAGAGGAGUGGGCGGGAUGAAGCCCCAGGCCUGGGAGUGGGCUGGGCAGGCUGAGGCAGCAGUUUUGAUAGUGUGGAGAUUUACUAGGAAGAAUGAAGAAAGUGGCGAGUAAACGGCUUGAAAGCUUAGCUAACUUCUGGUUUAAAUGAAGUCUCCAGGUCUGUCUGCCUCAUUUGUGUUUGGUGGCAUGAUGACAUCCAAGAGGAUACUUUUCUUGCAUAGGGAGUGCCAGGUGCCCCUUGAACCCAAAUCAAAUUCAGUCAGUAUUGAGUCCCUGUCAGGCAUCAGGGAUACAAUUCGCAAGGCAGACAAGAUCUCUGCUUUUGUGGCUUACGUACUAGGGGGAGAGACAGAAUAAGCAAGUAUAUACGAACAUUCCAGUUACUCGUGUUUUGAAAACAUCAAAAUGGCACAUUGCACGGGAGAGUAAAGGGGAAGACAACAUUAGAUAAAGUGGUCAGGAAAAGGUCAUGAGAUGACCUGAGUGAAAGGGAGGAGCCAGCUAUGGGAGUUCCAGUGCCAGUUUCCAGUGGGAAGACUGAUGUGAGGUUAAAAGCUCUGCAAGCCCACGGGAAGAAGGCUGGGGUGGAGAGGAAUAGCAGGAGAGAGGGUCGACAGGUGGUCAGGAGACAUGGCAGGGAAGCUCUUUUUCCAUUAUGGUAAAGAGUAUGAAUUUUAUUCCAAGUUCCACAAAAAUCACUGGAGAGUUUUGAGCAGAAAAGUGAUGUGUGAUUUAGUUGCUGCAGCGUAAAGAAUGGGUCAGGGAGGGUGUGGAGGCUGGGUUGGAACUGAAGCAGGCGGGCCAGCUUGGAAGUUCCUUGAGUAGUCAGCCAGGUAAAGGGUUUUAGUGGCUUAGUGUAGCGUGGACAUGGAGUGGAGAGGAUGGAUGGAGAGUAUGGAGCCAGAGAAAGGUUGGACAAAUUCAAUACAUAUACAUAUCUACAACAAUAAAAGCGUAAUAAGCUAAUUAGACUGAACAUCCUCCUGGACAACCUUCCGGAAGAAGAUCCUGUCCUGGGUGCCAGAGGAAAGCCAACGCUGGCAGCCGGGGGAAGGAAGGCCUCCUCUUGCACGAAUUUCGUGCAUUGGGCCUCUAGUACACACACACACACACACACACACACACACACACACACCCCACACGUUUCACUGUUGGAACUUGCUGCUGGAUUGAAUGCAGAGGUAAGGGAAAGAAAUGAAGGAUAACUCCUGGCCUGAGCAACUGCAAGAAUGAUAUUGCCCUCAACUGAGAGGGAAAAAUAGUGGAUGGAGCAGGUUUAGGAAGGAAAAAGAAGUUCUAUACUGAAUACGUUACAUCGGAGGUAGAGAUCUCCAAGUAUAGAUUUUAAGUAGAUCAUUAAGUCUUGGGGAUAAGUCGGCUAUCUAGAUUAAGUUGAGCGUCCUUUAUAUCAGUGAUAUUUAAAGCCCUGAGACUGGAUAUGUUUACCUAAAGAGAGAAUGUAAAUAAAGAAGAGGGUUUAAGGCUGCAAAAUUGGAUUACCAGGCAUUUGUUCCUGUAUGAUACAAAUCUGUAAAGAGUAACCUUUUUUUUCUUUUUUUUUUCUUUUUAAUCUGAGUUGCAUAUCUUCUGCAACUUUGAGAAACAAUUUAACUCCCCUACCCUCCCUCCCAAGUUUUUCCUAUUUACAGGAAGUAAUGUAACUGGCAGAUGUCUGAGUGCUCAAUUCAAUAUGACUAGACCAUUCUCCCUCUACAGGUAAACUGAUAGGAGGUGAAAUGAUGGAGAAAGACUGUGUGGUUUGUUGUGAAGACAAUUUGUUUGAUAGGACGUCUUUAUAGCCCCAACCUCAGGUUGCCGAUGGGCCAUUUUCACAAUACUGUCAAGCCUACCAGACGAGGAUAAAUUUACAGCCUCUGCAGACACUGCUUCUGACUCAAAAGGCUGGAGUCCUUUGGGAUCCUGACAUCACCUUGGGUUCCCUUACUCACCACGGUUCAGUGCUCUUAAGCUUUCAUAUAGGAAAACAAAGCCUCACUUGUUCAAAAAAGAGAUGAAAGUUUGGUCACAUUAGACAUUACAUGACAGCCUUAUAUUUUAAUGAAAAGAAAAGAAAUAGAUGAUCCAGGGGGUAAAAACCUACCCACAAUUUCUGGAUAAAACACACUGCCUGUCCUUGGGUUUCUAGCAAAUCACACAUUUAUUCAACCCUUUAGGCCAACGGGUCUCUUGUUUUGAGGAAGGGCUGCCACCUAGGGCCAUACCUUUUCCCCCCUCCAAGCUCUACUCUAAUCAAAAUUUUCUAGCAAUCUGGAAACAUCCCCUAAUCCCUGCUAAAUCUUAAAUGUCACAAAGAAAGAAACCGUCGCAAGUUGGGUUAAUAUCUAACUUGAUAUAUUUUAAAGUCAUUUUGAAAAAUUCCAAGGAUACAGAGGGUAAACGGCUUUUCCUCUAAGUUUGACUACAUAGGCUUCAUCAGUUCAAAAAAGUUAAUGUGCUGAUUCCAUAACAACAUCUGGCAGCCACUGCUAUGCAGCUAAAACGACUACUACCACAGUUAUAUAUUUGAACUUAUCUUACUUUCUGAUGGUUCUCAAAGCCAAGGCUAUUCUAAGUGUUUGGAUCACAUUAAAACCAAGCACAAACUUGGAGAGGUGAAUUUGCUCUUUACUCUUUCUUAAUUUAAUCAACCAGCUCAAGGCACUGGUUUCUUUUUUUUUUUUUUAAGUGAGAAUGAAUUGCUCUCAAUCUCUUUGUUUUGAUAAGUGAUCCAAAAGAAGAAGAAAACAUAUUCAGAUGGUUCAGUAGGAGGAAGAAAAAACAACUAUUUGGGAAUACAAACCAUUUGCUCGGGCAACGUUAGGUCAACAGCAGAUGGCGCCAAAGGACCUUAAUAGCAACCAACAGUUUUGCUUGUCAUCUCCAUUGUUAGUCUGUUUCCCACCCCAUUUACCCAAGAUUGCUCAGGAGUGGUGAUUGAGUGCAUAUACUCAGGAGUCAGAGUAGCUGGCUUCAUAACGCCAUAUUUGCUAGUUGGGUGACCGUGGAUGAGUUAUUCAACUUGAUUUUCCUCUUUGUAGAAUAGGAAUGCU